GUGAUCCAUGUGAUGCUGACGUUUCUAAUCUGCUCUCACUGGAGCUGCUGUUUCUUCAUUUGGACCGAGUCUUACGAAAGUGUUCUGGCGACAAUGAGAUGCCUGUCACUGACCGUGGGCUGUACUUCAGACAUGUGUGUGCUGACCUGCUCAACUGCCCGGAGGUGGAUGGGAAGUUGUUAGCCCUAGUUCACAGCUGAGGAAAAAGGCACAAGUUCACAAGACGCUCCUUCUCCAGCACCACGUCUACCUGCAUGCCUUGGUGUCCCACCAU